AACCGGGUCCCCAACCCCUCUCCAUCUCAGGGUGCCCGAGAACCAGGUUGUCUGACAGAAGAUUCAGGGCGAGACCUCCGUGAACGGUCCAGCGGGACACGCCCCAGUCAGCGCUGCCUUUCGGGGAGGUCGGCUUCCCGGAGCUCCGCCCCCGAGAACCAGCCACAGGCCCCGCCUCCUUCCGGAAUCCCUCUCUUUGCUUUUCAAGGGGGAAAACUGAGGGACAAUAAGGAUCUUCAGCUUGGCCCAGGCAGAGCGAAAGUGUGGCUCCCGCUAA